rnacentral:pre_miRNA from 12 species
CGGGGGUGCAUUGUAGUUGCAUUGCAUGUGUCAGACUGGGAGUGCAAUGCCCCUGCCAUGCAGCCCGGCGGGGGUCCCGCGCAGC